rnacentral:lncRNA from 1 species
AUUGCAAAUAUGGGAAGUGGUUAAAAUGCUAAUGAGACAGCUGUUAUGGCCACAGAGCCUUAAUUGAAAACUUCUUUUUCAUUCAUACCGGUAGAUUUUGCCUGGAGUUAGAAACAUAUCUGCCAACUUUUCAAAAUGCACAUGGGGGUUUUACGUGAAAGAUGGUUCAUAUAGUCAUACAAAACCUUCAAGGGGGCCUUCAAAUGGAAGCAGGACAAGUCGCCCCACUGGCUAAUCGCCCACUUUUAAAAAAACCGCCACAAACUGAUUUAUCAAAUCGCCCCACAUGUGAAAUUGGUUAAAUCAUGUUAAAUAUUACUCCUGCCAACCCGCCCUACUUAUAAAAAAACGGUAAUAUUUAGAUUAAUAUAUAUAUAUAUAAUUAAAAAUAAAAACUCGCACCACUUUAAUGAAAACUAAUCUACACAGAAUACAAACAAACCGA